GUAAGGAAUAUUGGACAAUGGGCGAAAGCCUGAUCCAGCCAUGCCGCGUGAGUGACGAAGGCCUUAGGGUUGUAAAGCUCUUUCAGCUGUGAGGAUAAUGACCGUAGCAGCAGAAGAAGCCCCGGCUAAUUUCGUGCCAGCAGCCGCGGUAAUACGAAAGGGGCAAGCGUUGUUCGGAAUCACUGGGCGUAAAGCGUACGUAGGCGGCGAUAUAAGUCAGAAGUGAAAUCCCAGGGCUCAACCUUGGAAUUGCUUUUGAAACUGAAUUGCUAGAGUCCCGGAGAGGUUGGCGGAAUUCCGAGUGUAGAGGUAAAAUUCGCAGAUAGUCGGAGGAACACCAGUGGCGUAGGCGGCCAACUGGUCCAUUACUGACGCUGAGGUGCGAAAGCGUGGGGAGCAAACAGGAUUAGAAACCCGGGUAGUCC
rnacentral:rRNA from 1 species